AUUACCGACAAAAUGCCAUUGUGCUGGGCUGCUGGCCCUUGGCCGAGGGGCCCGCUAAGGCCAGUUCGUUGAACAGCUCUUGCGCAUUUCGUCGAACAGCUCGUCGGCGAGGCGCCCCACACGGCGUGGAUCGCCCCCAGGCGGGGAGCCCCAGCUGCCGGUGCGCUGAGUGAAUUGCAGUGAACUUUACCUGUCCCAAUGCAUAUGGCAAAGGCGAGUACAUGUGAGCUGCCCUUUCCCUGUAAAAGACUGUCCGCUCAACUGAUACAACUGGCUGAACUGAACCAGAAUUCUGUACUCCCAUGAAAAUAACCGAGGCAUACAUGGAGCCCAUGGCAUUGAACAAAUCCUGUUGAUUAUCCCUGCAAGAGUACAAUAGCUUCAGUCUACUGCAUGCAAGCAAAACACUGUGUGAGGAAGGUCUGCGAGUAUUCCGUUGGAAAGGAUAGGUCAGUUGAACCUUCAGGAGGUGUGCUUAACUCCUUUAUUAAAGUUCUGUUCCUCCUGAAAAUGCAAGAACAUGACAAUAUUAAUGAUGGGCUGAGACAUUGUUUGGCAACGAACUAUCUUUUCGUUGAAUAGAAAA